UAGCUCAGUUGGUAGAGUGCUUGCCUCACAUGCACAAGGCCCUGGGUUCAAUUCCCAG
rfam:Ictidomys tridecemlineatus contig020379, whole genome shotgun sequence.